UACGGAGGGUGCAAGCGUUAUCCGGAUUCACUGGGUUUAAAGGGUGCGUAGGCGGAUAGGUAAGUCCGUGGUGAAAUCCUGCAGCUUAACUGCAGAACUGCCGUGGAUACUAUCUAUCUUGAAUGUCGUGGAGGUUAGCGGAAUAUGUCAUGUAGCGGUGAAAUGCUUAGAUAUGACAUAGAACACCCAUUGCGAAGGCAGCUAACUACGCGAUAAUUGACGCUGAUGCACGAAAGCGUGGGGAUCAAACAGGA
rnacentral:rRNA from 1 species